AUUGAACGCUGGCGGCAGGCCUAACACAUGCAAGUCGAGCGGAUGAAGGGAGCUUGCUCCUGGAUUCAGCGGCGGACGGGUGAGUAAUGCCUAGGAAUCUGCCUGGUAGUGGGGGAUAACGUCCGGAAACGGGCGCUAAUACCGCAUACGUCCUGAGGGAGAAAGUGGGGGAUCUUCGGACCUUACGCUAUCAGAUGAGCCUAGGUCGGAUUAGCUAGUUGGUGGGGUAAAGGCCUACCAAGGCGACGAUCCGUAACUGGUCUGAGAGGAUGAUCAGUCACACUGGAACUGAGACACGGUCCAGAAUCCUACGGGAGGGAACAGUGGGGAAUAUUGGGCGAUGGGCGAAAGCCUGAUCCAGCCAUGCCGCGUGUGUGAAGAAGGUCUUCGGAUUGUAAAGCACUUUAGGUUGGGAAGAAAGGCAGUAAGUUAAUACCUUGCUGUUUUGGCGUUAACAACAGAAUAAGCACCGGCUAACUUCGUG
rnacentral:rRNA from 1 species